CUGCAAUACUCCAGGGUGGAAGACACAAGUAUGGCACAGAUCUGGUGAGUCUCUUCAGCAUUUGCUCAGACCAUCACUUCAAGUCCAGUGCUCACACAGACACUAUCACCUGAGGAGACCCCCCCGUCUUCUGAGGAGACCUCAGUGAAUAACUAAGGCAAAACUGUUACAGCCAAGAGUUUCAAACAGCUGCUCAAGCCCUUCAGAAAAACAAAGCUCUGAAAUCAUUAACAAACACUUGUGAUGUGCUCCCACGUUGAAAGAGAAAAUUACUCCCCUUCAGCAGCAAAUGGGGGCAAAUCUAGGAGGCAGCGGAUGCCCGUCCCGGCGGCGUGCGGCGGACGGCGGGGAUACACCUUUCCUUAUCUAUCCCUCGCUAUCAGAAAUGGAGACACUGUUAACGUUACAAAAAUUCAGAGAACUGUGAAAGCGUUUAGGAUGGGGGUGGCUGGAGCGGUAGGAACUGUGCGGAAUCUGUAUGUGGGGAGAUUUUUGGUGAAAAAUAAAAUACGA